rnacentral:rRNA from 1 species
AUUGAACGCUGGCGGCAUGCCUUACACAUGCAAGUCGAACGGCAGCACGGGAGUAAUCCUGGUGGCGAGUGGCGAACGGGUGAGUAAUAUAUCGGAACGUGCCCAGUCGUGGGGGAUAACGCAGCGAAAGCUGUGCUAAUACCGCAUACGAUCUGUGGAUGAAAGCGGGGGACUCGCAAGGGCCUCGCGCGAUUGGAGCGGCCGAUAUCAGAUUAGCUAGUUGGUGGGGUAAAGGCCCACCAAGGCGACGAUCUGUAGCUGGUCUGAGAGGACGACCAGCCACACUGGAACUGAGACACGGUCCAGACUCCUACGGGAGGCAGCAGUGGGGAAUUUUGGACAAUGGGCGCAAGCCUGAUCCAGCAAUGCCGCGUGCAGGAUGAAGGCCUUCGGGUUGUAAACUGCUUUUGUACGGAACGAAACGGCCCCUUCUAAUACAGGGGGCUAAUGACGGUACCGUAAGAAUAAGCACCGGCUAACUACGUGCCAGCAGCCGCCGUAAAAC